rnacentral:rRNA from 1 species
AACGAACGCUGGCGGCAGGCUUAACACAUGCCAGUCGAACGCACCUUUCGGGGUGAGUGGCAGACGGGUGAGUAACGCGUGGGAAUCUACCCUUCUCUACGGGAUAGCUCCGGGAAACUGGAAUUAAUACCGUAUACGUCCUGAGGGAGAAAGAUUUAUCGGGGAAGGAUGAGCCCGCGUUGGAUUAGCUAGUUGGUGGGGUAAAGGCCUACCAAGGCGACGAUCCAUAGCUGGUCUAAGAGGAUGACCAGCCACAUUGGGACUGAGACACGGCCCAAACUCCUACGGGAGGCAGCAGUGGGGAAUAUUGGACAAUGGGCGCAAGCCUGAUCCAGCCAUGCCGCGUGAGUGAUGAAGGCCCUAGGGUUGUAAAGCUCUUUCAGUGGGGACGAUAAUGACGGUACCCACAGAAGAAGCCCCGGCUAACUUCGUG